rnacentral:rRNA from 1 species
AUGCUAAAUGACAGGAUAAAUACAUGUGAUCUUUUGAUUAGAAAAAAUAUGCAUCUAGAUUCCACUGUAUGUGUUCUAUGCAACAAUGAAGACAUUGAGGAUAGGACUCAUCUUCUUUUCACAUGUCCAUUUAGUCAGGGAUUUUGGUGGAACAUUGGUUUUGAAUGGAAUUCGGAUCUGGAAAUCAACAAUAUGAUUAUUGAUGCUAAACACAGAUAUAAAAUUGACCACUUCAUGGAAGCCAUGAUUCUUGGAUGCUGGAGCAUAUGGAACCAAAGGAAUGGGAUGAUUUUUGAAGGGAUCCCCUGUUCAAUAAAUGAAUGCAAGAAUGAAUUUGUCAGAUAUUUCAAAAUGACCAUGCUAAGGGCUAAACCCACUCUAAAAGAGGGCAUGUCCUCUUGGAUAGACAAUAUUUAA